UAAAGUGCGAAAUGUAAUGCGAUUUGCAUGAAUCUGUGAGUCAUCGAAUUUUUGAACGCAACUUGCGCCCUAUUAGGGCAUGUCUGUUUGAGUACCGCAAUCUUUUAUGCAGCAAUGCGAAUUGAUCAUGGCGUUAGGCCUUGGUUUAAAGAUAGUAUAUAGUAUCAAGCUAGAGCUUGGACACUAUGUGUUAGAGACGCAAGUCUUCUCAUAGUACCAUGCGCUAAUGCUAGAUAACAAAUACUUUUUUUUUGGUCUCAAAUCAGGCAAGACUACCCGCUGAACUUAA
rnacentral:misc_RNA from 1 species